rnacentral:rRNA from 1 species
UACAGAGGGUGCAAGCGUUGUUCGGAAUUAUUGGGCGUAAAGCGCGUGUAGGCGGCUUUGCAAGUCGGGUGUGAAAGCCCUCGGCUCAACCGAGGAAGUGCGCCCGAAACUGCAGAGCUUGAGUACCGGAGAGGGUAGCGGAAUUCCCCAAGUAGAGGUGAAAUUCGUAGAUAUGGGGAGGAACACUGGUGGCGAAGGCGGCUACCUGGACGGAUACUGACGCUGAGACGCGAAAGCGUGGGUAGCAAACAGG